UAGGGCUGUGUGUUCUUUGCGAGCGUCCUCCCUGUGCUCCAGCUCCUGUGUGAAGAUAACCCGUGGAGAUUCAGCCCGUGGAGACGAGUCCUACAUUUGCUCUUUUCUGCCGAAUCCUCUUAGGACUCCAGAACCUUCCAAGAUGAGCAUGCACCCCUCUAAAGCUUCAGGACAGUGACAAAAAAAGAGGAAGAGACAUCUGAUCUGCGGCAUGACUAGAACUGGACAUUUUGGGGGCCUAUCAG